CCAGAGGGUCGGGCGACCGCGGGUGUCUUUCGAGAUGCGCGAGGAAAGUCCGGGCUCCAUGUAACGACGGUGCCGGGUAACGCCCGGCCGGGGCAACCCGAGGGAAAGUGCCACAGAGAGGAGGUUGCGACCGCUUCGGCGACGUAACAUUGAAAGGGUGCGGUAAGAGCGCACCGCGCGCCUGGUAACAGGGGCGGCACGGCAAACCCCACCGGGAGCAAGACCGAAUAGGGACGUCAUAUGGGCAUGUUGCUGCUCGUCGUCCGGGUUGGUUGCUUGAGCCCGCAUGCAAGUGCAGGCCUAGAGGAAUGGUCGCCCAUCCCGGUCAAACGGGUGGACAGAACCCGGCUUACAGACCCUCUGGCGCU
rnacentral:RNase_P_RNA from 1 species